GCUUUUGUUCCAGUCACCUGUUUGUAUAUGAAUGGAGCAGACAUGGGUAUAUCACGAGGAUGACUGACAGAUGGAAUUACCUUUGAAAGAAUAUCAAGCUGGACUUCUUCGACUGGAUAUUUCACAUAAAAAUUUCAGAUCAGUCUUUAGUGGAUUUCUUAAGACGUGCGGAUACUUUCCAUUACAAAAGGAUAUUGUCAGGGGGCUGAAUGAAGUGCAGAUCCACUAACUUUUGGAAAUCCCAUCCGUCUCACGGUCAUUCCAAAAGAUGUACCGGAAACUGCUCCGGUUCUGUCCAUCUUGUCCCCUUUCAAGGGCGAUGGACCGGAUAUUUGUCUGGCCGCCGGGUUCUUUCCUCAAGAAAAGAAUAUGACUUUGACUUUGGAAGUGAUAAUACAAAAAUCAAUGAAUGCAAAAUGGAUGGACAAACUGCAGACAAAACUCCAGACACUCCUGAAACGACAGAUAAACCCGAAAGACCGACUCCAAACAAAUGUGAAACAAAUGCUAAAACUUCUGCCUCAGGGUUCAUAGACACUGGUGUUCCAAAAAUGAACUUCAUGAAUCUUCUUGUGACAGGUCUGAGAAUUCUGCUUGCUAAAUGUGUUGCAGUUAAUGUAAUGAUGACUGUAAAGGCAUUCGUAUUUUAAAAGUUCAAUUCAGCCAAAUCAUCUGAAUAAUCUCAAUUAUUAAGUGUAACUUGAUCGAACCCUGACAAACAAACAAAUGCGGUUAUACAGUCAGCCACAGGGUCAGUAUUAAUCUAUAUUCUGUCUAAUAAUGUUACAUGGAAUGAAAAAUACAAAUUGUUAGUAAUGUCUUUCAAAUAUACAGAAUAUCAACAAACAUUGCAAACCUUUUUGACAUUUAGAAACAUUUCUGAAUUCAGCGGUAUAAUGUGUGUAUUGCUUUGCAUUGGUGUGUGUAUUUUCAGCUUUAGUUGCAAAUAAGUGCAAGUUAAUUUUUUUAUAUACUUUUACAUUUUUUACUUUUUUUUCCUUCUUUUUUUUUUACAUAACAGUAUUGCAUUGUUUAAGACUUUUACAUUGUCUAAUUGUAUAACGGAUAACUAUUUGACUUUACUAUUGAGGCACUGAUCUUUGCAUGUAAUAUGAUUUUUCAAAAAUAUAUUAAAUAAUAAAAUGUCUUGAUAAAAGAGAAGUUUCA
ensembl:lncRNA